AUGCCCUGGAGGAGGGCACGGCAACCCCUCUCCAGCAUUCUUGCCUGGAGAAUCCCCAUGGACAGAGGAGUCUGGUGGGCUACACUCCACAGGUCGCGAAGAGUCGACAAGACAGCACAGCGCAGCACAGAGAUGUCAAGUGCUUUCACCUCUCCCGACCUUUGCCCAUGCUUAUUCCUUCUGCCUAAAGUCCCAGCUCUAUCAAGUCUCCCCGUUAGCCCUCCCCUCUUUUCUGCUUCCUGUGAGCCUUGUACACCACUCCUUCACUUUUAUCAAUUAUUUCCUAGCGCUUGUCUGUUGGCCUGUCGGCCCUGGGAACUCCUUGACAGCCACCAAGCGGCCCUGCGGGUAGACUCCAGAACAGGGCCUGUCACAUUGGCAGCGCCAGGAAAUGCUUGUGAACGGAUGAAUGCUCCUGCGGGUGAGGGCCCCUGUGCACAAACAGAUCCGAGCAGAGGGGCCGAGGCCUGGCCUCCGUCGCUCCUACACUGGGGAAGGCUUGGAGGUUGCUCUAAGGCUGGCUGGCCGGACCUCCCUGAGGGACCUUCGGGAGCCUCAACGCGGGCGGGCAGGCGGGGGCAGGGCGUGCGCGCGGACACACCCCCCGCAGUGUCCCCGGCGCCCGGCAGGGGGCGCUGCUCCGUCGGCCCACGCCCCGCCGCGCGCCGGGCCGGCUCCCUCGCGCAGGCGCGGUGCCGCGGGUGGAGGAUCCGGGCCGCGCUUCCUCUCGCCAGGCCUGCGAGCUUCCUCCCAGCGGAGCCCAGGGCCAGCCGAGCUUGGCCGCUGCCGCCGUCGCCGCCGCCGCGACCGCCGCCGCCCUCCCGGUCUCGCCCCACCCGGCACCCCGCGCGGAGGUCUUGCUGGGGUGGGGUCCGAGCGGGGCGGUCUCCCGGCCGCGCCGCCGUCGGGGCCACCCCCCCGGCCAGCGGUCCCUCCCGCCCCAGCCAGCCUGUGGCCGCCGGAGCCUCCGGGGCGUGGAACGCGGGGACCUUCUGCGGCGCCCCGAACCAGCGUCCGGGGCCGCCCCGGGCAGCCGGCGCGACGUCCCCGCAUCGAGCCUCGGUGGCGGCGUUCGGAAGCGGAACUCUGCCGGGGCUGCGCCGGCUACAUUGUUUCCUCCCCCCCGACUCCCUCCCGCCCCCUCUCCCCCGCCUUUCUUCCCUCCCCGACCCGGGCCGCGCGGCCAUCCCCCUGCCUCUGUCUGGCCGUCCCUCCUCCCCCUCCUCUCGCACCCAGACCUCUUUGUACCUCACCACCCGGGGACCCCUGCGCCCCUCCCCUCCCCCCUGGCCGCAUGGACCGUCCGGCAGGCCGCUGAUGCUGCCCGCAGCGAGGUGGCCCGGACCGCAGUGCCCCGAGAGAGCUCUCAUGGUACCAAGUGACAGGUCGGCCUUCCUGUGACACGGGGACGCCAGAUCUUCUAGGAAGAUGUCAGCAAUUCAGGCUGCCUGGCCAUCCGGUACAGAAUGUAUUGCCAAGUACAACUUUCACGGCACUGCUGAGCAAGACCUUCCCUUCUGCAAAGGAGAUGUGCUCACCAUUGUGGCUGUCACCAAGGACCCCAAUUGGUACAAAGCCAAGAACAAGGUGGGCCGUGAGGGCAUCAUCCCAGCCAACUAUGUCCAGAAGCGGGAGGGUGUGAAGGCAGGCACCAAGCUCAGCCUCAUGCCCUGGUUCCAUGGCAAGAUCACGCGGGAACAGGCAGAGCGGCUCCUGUGCCCACCAGAGACAGGCCUGUUCCUGGUGCGGGAGAGCACCAACUACCCCGGGGACUACACGCUGUGCGUGAGCUGUGAUGGCAAGGUGGAGCAUUACCGCAUCAUGUACCACGCCAGCAAGCUCAGCAUCGAUGAAGAGGUGUACUUUGAGAACCUCAUGCAGCUGGUGGAGCACUACACCUCAGAUGCAGAUGGCCUCUGUACUCGCCUCAUCAAGCCAAAGGUCAUGGAGGGCACCGUGGCCGCCCAGGAUGAGUUCUUCCGCAGUGGCUGGGCGCUGAACAUGAAGGACCUGAAGCUGCUGCAGACCAUAGGGAAGGGGGAGUUUGGAGACGUGAUGCUGGGUGACUACCGAGGGAACAAAGUCGCUGUCAAGUGCAUUAAGAACGAUGCCACUGCACAGGCCUUCCUGGCUGAAGCCUCCGUCAUGACGCAACUCCGGCAUAGCAACCUGGUACAGCUUCUGGGCGUGAUCGUAGAGGAGAAGAGCGGGCUGUACAUCGUUACCGAGUACAUGGCCAAGGGGAGUCUAGUGGACUACCUGCGGUCUCGGGGUCGGUCGGUGCUUGGCGGAGACUGUCUCCUCAAGUUCUCACUAGACGUCUGUGAGGCCAUGGAAUACCUGGAGGGCAACAACUUCGUGCAUCGGGAUCUGGCUGCCCGCAACGUGCUGGUGUCUGAGGACAAUGUGGCCAAGGUCAGCGACUUCGGCCUCACCAAGGAGGCCUCCAGCACCCAGGACACGGGCAAGCUGCCGGUCAAGUGGACAGCCCCCGAGGCCCUAAGAGAGAAGAAAUUCUCCACCAAGUCUGAUGUGUGGAGUUUCGGGAUCCUUCUCUGGGAAAUCUACUCUUUCGGGCGAGUGCCUUAUCCAAGAAUUCCCCUGAAGGACGUCGUCCCGCGGGUGGAGAAGGGCUACAAGAUGGAUGCCCCCGACGGCUGCCCACCUGCAGUCUACGAGGUCAUGAAGAACUGCUGGCACCUGGAUGCCGCCACGCGGCCCUCCUUCCUGCAGCUCCGCGAGCAGCUCGAGCGCAUCAAGACCCACGAGCUGCACCUGUGACUGCGGCCUCGCCCGGGCCGAGGGCCUGAGGGCCUGCAGGGACUGAGCCGGAGAGACUGCGGACCUCGCACCCCCGCUCGCUGGGCCCAAACCUGAACUGAGCCCAGCAGGAGGCCGCUGGGCCUCUUUCCUGUCCCAGCCCGUGCCCCCUCUGGCACCCGGAGACCCCGCCUAGGCCUGGCACCUUCUUUCAUGGACCCACCUGUGGGGCUUUGGGAGCCCUGCCCUCGGGCCCGGAUGGGAGGAGGCUGAAGAGCCGGGGGAUAGACGCCCUACCGUGGUCAGGCUCCCCCCUGGCCUCCCAUCUCUCGCCUUCUUAGAGUUUUAUUCCUUUUCUUUUUUUGAGAUUUUUUUUUUCCGUGUGUUUAUUUUUUAUUAUUUUUCAAGAUAAGGAGAAAGAAAGUACCCAGCAAAUGGGCAUUUUACAAGAAGUACGAAUCUUAUUUUCCUGUCCUGCCCACGAGGGUUGGGGAGACCAGGCCCCUCUCUAGGGCCCCAUCGCCCCGGCCCUGUUCCCCCCGCCGUGUCCCGUGUCCGUGUCGCCUCGGUCGCCCCGUGUCUGCGCUUGACCAUGUUGCAGUGUUUGCAUGCGCCCGAGGCAGACGUCUGUCAGGGGCUUGGAGUCCGUGUGCCGCUGCCGCCCACCCACCUGCCUUGUGAGAUGGAAUCGUAAUAAACCACUCCAUGAGGACCCCGCU
rnacentral:lncRNA from 1 species